AGACGUCAACGUAGGUUAGCGCUGGGCACCGAACGUCGUCGUGCCGGCCGACGCAGCGCCCCGUGACGACCCCGGCGGCAACUGGGUGGCUCCUGAGGAAGUUUCUAUCGACAUGGCAUGUCUUGAGACAGCCAUUUGUUGUCCAGAUACCUGCCGACACCGGCGUGGGUGACCCGGCUAGGUUCAUUUAUAUACAUAAACCUCGUCAGGUCACUGCCGUCGGCGGAGCCCGGCCCGCGCGGGUCACAGCCUGCACACAGCUGGUCGGUGCCGGGUCUGGAAGUCGGUCUUCCAGAGGACUGGUAUACCUUGGGAUUCGACGCCUCCCAGAUUCGGCCAGCUGCCCUGUGGCAUUCCUCGUCUCCCUUAGAAUUACAACGCCUUUGUUGGUGUACGCGAGGAAGACGAACAGGAACUGACGAUCUGUCUGGCCAUCCUGCGAGCUGGACUAACCCAAGACUAACCAACCUGAUCGAGAUGAGCAGGGUCGUGUCCCCGGGCAGCUUUGUCCUCGCUUUGACCUCGUGCCGCGUUCGGCGAUGUCAGCGUUCCUAAGAAGAGCCUUCGCCACUGCGUUAUGACCGUCGAGCUUCGUGUUGGUAAAGUGUUCCCGACUGAGCUGCUGGGGAACGUAGCCAACGCCGAUGGCCACACCGAGGUCAGGCCGGCGGCAGCCCAAGACAUGUCGUAGGAUGUCAAGACAGCCCAUGGGCUGCCGGCGUGGCGCUUGAUCAGGCUGUCCAGGACAUGAUUCUGGGUAUCUUCCCGGUGCCGGGGUCGCUACCGAAGUGGUGAUGACCACUGCGCACACCGACAGAAAGGCGUCCUGCCCUCAUUCCGAUUCCACCUGUUCAUCGCUCCCCGGCAGGGUUGAGCCGGAGCUCGAUAAGGCACUCUACGAGACACCAAAACUCCACUAUACCGUGAAGACGCAGCAAACUUUCUGGCGGGACUACGCCUCGGACACAAACAGCGAAACUUACCCCGAAUAGCCCCGGGCAACAAGUGUUCGGAUAAGCAACUGCAAACGCAACAGGUGGCUUGUCAUAGCGCCCCUGCUGGGCCGAUGCAACUUGCCGGAAUUUUUUGUGGUUUUGCAGACAUAGCAAAAUACAGCUGGGCCACAGACGUUUGUUCUGGCGCCGGAUUGCUGGCAGAGGGUCGGUUACAUGGGUCGAGUUUGGCUGUAACGUGUCAUAUUGUGGUGUCGGUGGCGCCUGUGGCCAAGGUUACCAGACAUCGCUUGUAUAAUGGUGCAGAAAUAAUGGGUGGUAGUGCAGCCGAGGAUAGAUAACUGAGCGAUAUAGAACACUGGUAGGGACGAUAAAAGGUGUUGCAUAGCAUUAUUUUAAUGAUAUUGCUCAUGCUCACCUGACGGUUGACGUUCCCUUAUCGUCAUGUCUCAAGGUCACUUUAUCUGGUUCUUCUGUUCUUUUGAGUGUUUUAUGUAUGUCUUGUUUCGCUGUUCUAUCGCCACUUUAUAAUUUAUAGAACUCAAUAAAAAUGCAUAUUAAUACAUA
rnacentral:lncRNA from 1 species